GCGGCAACGGCCUGUCAG
rnacentral:misc_RNA from 1 species